AUGGGCAACCCUUGGGUCCUAGAAUGUUUUCCCAGGUUCAUUUCUGCAACAACUUUGUAAGCUCCUUGAGAGCAGAAACCUUGUCCGAGUCUCUGGACACAGUCCUAACAGCGAACAGAUGAGGAGGAGGCAUUUAUUUGGAGGACACUGUGCAAGGAAACGCAUGGCCCGUUCCUGGCAGCGUGCCGUGUGAGCCCGCCUGUGAGGAACAGAGGGAAAGCGGGAGGCAAGACGUUCGCAGUAGCACAGUGAAGAUGUUAAAAAUUAAAUCUGAAAUACAAUAAGUAAACAAAUCAAUGUAAAACUCUGUAAUUAAAAGAACAAGAACAGCAUCAGCAAGAAUCCAGAUGGAAGGUGUUUUCUGAAAUUAACAUCAGUCUCUCACACCCUAAGAGUCAUUGGUUCUAACUUUACUUAGAAACAGACAGAGAGUGAGAAGCAUAGAGAGAGAGCCCACAAGUCGGUGGGAACAGCAGACAGAGGAAGAAACAGACUCGCCACCGAGCAAGGGGCAUGAUUCAGGACUCGAUGCCAGGGAUCAUGACCCAGGUGGAAGAAGGACAC